rnacentral:rRNA from 1 species
UACAGAGGGUGCUAGCGUUGUUCGGAAUUAUUGGGCGUAAAGCGCGCGCAGGCGGCCUGUUAAGUCUGAUGUGAAAGCCCCCGGCUCAACCGGGGAAGGUCAUUGGAAACUGAUAGGCUUGAGUACAGAAGAGGAAAGCGGAAUUCCACGUGUAGCGGUGAAAUGCGUAGAGAUGUGGAGGAACACCAGUGGCGAAGGCGGCUUUCUGGUCUGUAACUGACGCUGAGGCGCGAAAGCGUGGGGAGCAAACAGG